CUUUAAAUUUCUUUAAUUAAUAUUGUUAAUUUAUCAAUUUGAGUGGCAAUUUUGGAGUUAUAAUAAACUAAAGGUUUAUUUUUUAUUUUUCAACAAUAUAUAUAUUUUUCUUUUUUAUCUUUUAUUUUUUUGUUUUAUUUCUUUCAAAAAUUAUGAAAUUCGACUAAUUAUAAAAUAUUUAAUAUACAUAUCAAAUCAAAAAUCACAACAAGAGCUUUAAUUUAAUAAAAUUUUAUGUAAAUAUUU
rnacentral:lncRNA from 1 species